AGUGGAGCAACAGUUCUGCGUGAAGCGGGUCAGGGGAGGAAUCCAGCAGCCCUAAGCGAGUGUGAAUUGUGUGCUCUUUUUU
rnacentral:SRP_RNA from 1 species